rnacentral:rRNA from 1 species
GAGCGAACGGAUAAGGAGCUUGCUCCUUUGAAGUUAGCGGCGGACGGGUGAGUAACACGUGGGUAACCUACCUAUAAGACUGGAAUAACUUCGGGAAACCGGAGCUAAUGCCGGAUAACAUUUGGAACCGCAUGGUUCUAAAGUAAAAGAUGGUUUUGCUAUCACUUAUAGAUGGACCCGCGCCGUAUUAGCUAGUUGGUAAGGUAACGGCUUACCAAGGCAACGAUACGUAGCCGACCUGAGAGGGUGAUCGGCCACACUGGAACUGAGACACGGUCCAGACUCCUACGGGAGGCAGCAGUAGGGAAUCUUCCGCAAUGGACGAAAGUCUGACGGAGCAACGCCGCGUGAGUGAUGAAGGUUUUCGGAUCGUAAAACUCUGUUAUUAGGGAAGAACAAAUGUGUAAGUAACUGUGCACAUCUUGACGGUACCUAAUCAGAAAGCCACGGCUAACUACGUGCCAGCAGCCGCGGUAAUACGUAGGUGGCAAGCGUUAUCCGGAAUUAUUGGGCGUAAAGCGCGCGUAGGCGGUUUCUUAAGUCUGAUGUGAAAGCCCACGGCUCAACCGUGGAGGGUCAUUGGAAACUGGGAAACUUGAGUACAGAAGAGGAAAGUGGAAUUCCAUGUGUAGCGGUGAAAUGCGCAGAGAUAUGGAGGAACACCAGUGGCGAAGGCGACUUUCUGGUCUGUAACUGACGCUGAUGUGCGAAAGCGUGGGGAUCAAACAGGAUUAGAUACCCUGGUAGUCCACGCCGUAAACGAUGAGUGCUAAGUGUUAGGGGGUUUCCGCCCCUUAGUGCUGCAGCUAACGCAUUAAGCACUCCGCCUGGGGAGUACGACCGCAAGGUUGAAACUCAAAGGAAUUGACGGGGACCCGCACAACGGUGGAGCAUGUGGUUUAAUUCGAAGCAACGCGAAGAACCUUACCAAAUCUUGACAUCCUUUGAAAACUCUAGAAGAUAGAGCCUUCCCCUUCGGG